rnacentral:rRNA from 2 species
UUAUUGGGCGUAAGAGCUCGUAGGCGGUUUGUCGCGUCUGCUGUGAAAUCCCGAGGCUCAACCUCGGGCUUGCAGUGGGUACGGGCAGACUAGAGUGCGGUAGGGGAGAUUGGAAUUCCUGGUGUAGCGGUGGAAUGCGCAGAUAUCAGGAGGAACACCGAUGGCGAAGGCAGAUCUCUGGGCCGUAACUGACGCUGAGGAGCGAAAGCAUGGGGAGCGAACAGGAUUAGAUACCCUGGUAGUCCAUGCCGUAAACGUUGGGCGCUAGAUGUAGGGACCUUUCCACGGUUUCUGUGUCGUAGCUAACGCAUUAAGCGCCCCGCCUGGGGAGUACGGCCGCAAGGCUAAAACUCAAAGGAAUUGACGGGGGCCCGCACAAGCGGCGGAGCAUGCGGAUUAAUUCGAUGCAACGCGAAGAACCUUACCAAGGCUUGACAUACACCGGAAACGGCCAGAGAUGGUCGCCCCCUUGUGGUCGGUGUACAGGUGGUGCAUGGUUGUCGUCAGCUCGUGUCGUGAGAUGUUGGGUUAAGUCCCGCAACGAGCGCAACCCUCGUUCUAUGUUGCCAGCGGGUUAUGCCGGGGACUCAUAGGAGACUGCCGGGGUCAACUCGGAGGAAGGUGGGGAUGACGUCAAAUCAUCAUGCCCCUUAUGUCUUGGGCUUCACGCAUGCUACAAUGGCCGGUACAAAGGGCUGCGAUACCGUAAGGUGGAGCGAAUCCCAAAAAGCCGGUCUCAGUUCGGAUUGAGGUCUGCAACUCGACCUCAUGAAGUCGGAGUCGCUAGUAAUCGCAGAUCAGCAACGCUGCGGUGAAUACGUUCCCGGGCCUUGUACACACCGCCCGUCAAGUCAUGAAAGUCGGUAACACCCGAAGCCGGUGGCCUAACCCUUGUGGAAGGAGCCGUCGAAGUGGAUCGGUGAUUAG